ACAAGCCUGAGAAACGGCUAGUAGGACUAAGGUCUGCAGCAGGCGCGAAACUUACACAAUGCUAGAUUACCUAUCAUAGCGAUGUAGUGAAGAAAAAUAACGAUGUGCUUGUAUCUACAAAUACUCGCACAAUUGGAAUGAGACGACUCUAAACCAGUCAGUCGAGUAACAAAUGGAGGGCAAGUCUGGUGCCAGCAGCCGCGGUAAUUCCAGCUCCAUUAGCAUACAUUAAAGUUGUUGCGGUUAAAAAGCUCGUAGUUGAAUUUUAGACGGGCUCUUGUGGGCUGCAACCGUUCAAGGCCUAAGUUGGUAGCUUCGGCUCCUCUCUGGCUGGCUGUAGUUCCCACUCGGAACCCGUUGUUUCGUCACUUAAUCGAGUGCGAAGCGGGCUGGCGCAUACGAAGCUUCUUACGAUUCUUCGUUUCGACAGCAAGUUUACCUUGAGAAAAUUAGAGUGCUCAGAGCAGGCAGUUGGGAUGUAAAAAUCUCUUUAUGCUUGAAUAAUGUUGCAUGGAAUAAUAGAAUACGGCCUCGGUUCUAUUCUGUUGGUCUUAUAGAACAACAAACAAGUUGGUUUAGGCGAUAACGGCUAACCCACGGUGUGGCUGGCGAUGUCGCUUUUGUUGUCUGGGGCCUAAAAAUCUCAGUACCUUAAGCGCGCGUCAACCAUCCUAAAGCACCGAGGGCACUAGUCAGCCUUCAAAUCAACUGAGGCAAUGGUUAAAAGAAAUAGUCGCGGCGGCAUCAGUACUGCAUCGUGAGAG
rnacentral:rRNA from 1 species